rnacentral:rRNA from 1 species
AAGGCUAAAUACUACCACGAGACCGAUAGCGAACAAGUACCGUGAGGGAAAGUGGAAAAGAACUUUGAAGAGAGAGUUCAAGAGUACGUGAAACCGCUCAAGGGUAAACGGAAGGUGUCCGAGCAAACCAGUCCGGGGAAACUCAGCCCCGCCCCGCGAACCGCUCCGGCGGGUCGGGCGCCGCGGCGCCGCGGGGGGCUCUCGCGGGCCCCUCUUGCGGCGAUUCAGCGGGUCAAGCCCGGCCGUCUUGCCGUGCGCGCGCGGACCGAAAGCGUCCGCGCGUGAGUCGUUCGCCCGGGCGGGGUGCACUUUUCCUUCGACAUAGUGCGUCGCGAUCCGUUGGUCGGCGGCCUUAGGGCCCGGUCGUCUCCUCGCCCGGCCGCGACGUCCUGUGGGGCGGGAAACAGUCGGGCGAGAGCGACCGGUGUGCGCGUUCAAUGAGCUGGCAGCUGUGAGGCGCCGGCGCGCGCGUCCCGGCCCGCCGUGUAAGACCGGUUCCGUAGGGGUUCCGGCAAUAACGACGGUCAUAGAAUUCGCGGAAGACGAACUGACCGUCCGCCUCCUUCACGGGGGGCGGGCGGCGGGUCCCUCCGGAUCUGAGCCAAGAGCUCAUCAUCGAAACCUGGCCGCGGAGGCGACGAUCCGGUAGGCGCCGCCUUAGCCGGCGACGCUCCGGGGAACGUCCCUCCGACCUGAACAGGCGUGGAUGGAGAGCGGAAGCUCACCGCCGCCACGGCCGGGGAGGUGACAGGAGGGGGGGUGUAGUAUCCCACGAGAGAUCCAGCGGUCCAACCGGCGGCGAA